rnacentral:rRNA from 1 species
AACGAACGCUGGCGGCAGGCUUAACACAUGCAAGUCGAGCGCCCCGCAAGGGGAGCGGCAGACGGGUGAGUAACGCGUGGGAAUCUACCCAUCUCUACGGAAUAACGCAUGGAAACGUGUGCUAAUACCGUAUACGCCCUUCGGGAGAAAGAUCUAUCGGAGAUGGAUGAGCCCGCGUUGGAUUAGCUAGUUGGUGGGGUAAAGGCCUACCAAGGCGACGAUCCAUAGCUGGUCUGAGAGGAUGAUCAGCCACACUGGGACUGAGACACGGCCCAGACUCCUACGGGAGGCAGCAGUGGGGAAUAUUGGACAAUGGGCGCAAGCCUGAUCCAGCCAUGCCGCGUGAGUGAUGAAGGCCCUAGGGUUGUAAAGCUCUUUCACGGGUGAAGAUAAUGACGGUAACCGGAGAAGAAGCCCCGGCUAACUUCGUGCCAGCCGCCGCCGUAAAAC